rnacentral:rRNA from 1 species
UACAGAGGUCCCAAGCGUUGUUCGGAUUCAUUGGGCGUAAAGGGUGCGUAGGUGGCGUCGUAAGUCGGGUGUGAAAUCUCGGGGCUUAACUCCGAAACUGCAUUCGAUACUGCGGUACUUGAGGACUGGAGAGGAGACUGGAAUUUACGGUGUAGCAGUGAAAUGCGUAGAGAUCAUGAGGAAGACCAGUGGCGAAGGCGGGUCUCUGGACAGUUCCUGACACUGAGACACGAAGGCCAGGGGAGCAAACGGG